AGUAUUUAAAGAACAAAGGAAUUACAUUCGUUUUAAAAUUCAAUGAUUUCCAUCUGUACAUUUUCAUUUACAGAUGUCGUGAUAUUUGCACCAUCUGAAUAAAAAGGAAUGUUAAACCGCAUUUUAUUCAUUAACAACAUUUAUAUUUCCGGUCUAUCUUGCUAAGCUAAAGGGAGGUAAUAAUUAUUUUACACAGUUGCAUUUCUAAUGCAUUUAUGCUGAAUAUAUCGCUACAACCCCGUGACAAAUGUAAUUGACCACCUUUAAACAAUUUAAUACAGAAAUCCGAGAUUUAAACUUGACAGUUUUUUUACGUAUUUUUGUGUGUCUCGUUUUGAAGCGUUCCGCAUCGCCUCGCUGUCAAACGCGUGACAGGUGAUUGCACUAAUAAGAUUUCCUACUUACCUAUCUACUCAUAUUUAUGGUCUAGCGAUAAAAAUAAGCCAACAUUUUUCCAUUAAGGGUUAUCACGAUGAAUCUCCGCGGUGGAAAAGCGAGCACUGCUGCCAUGGUAGCAGGUGUUGCAGCAGCUGAGUGUGUCAGUAUUCUCUACUACAUGUUUACCCCCUGGUUCCUGGGACCCGGAGAGCGAUCCCUCUACACGUCCAUUGGCUGCAAUAUACUGUUAUUCCUACUGAUAUUCAGACUUGUCGAAAAGUAUUGGUAUUUGAAGACCUGGCAGGAUGCUGUAAAGAUGGGUGUUUGGUUAACUCUUAUAUAUAUCUCAGUAAAUGCACCGUACGUAAUUACAUGGUGGAACCCGGCAUCAUACCUGUAUCUACUGGGACCUGCCGCCCAUACCGCGGUUCAAAUCUCAGCAAUGACUCUCUCAAUUUGGUAUUUUAAGAAUAAAAAGUGAACCAGGACAAUAUUGACGAUGUAUUUAUUGUAUUUUAGUGAGCACGUGAAAUCCGGGCAUUUUUCUCAUAAAAUAAUCAUCGUAGUGACUUUAUUCCUAUUAGUUCUUACCUGAUUAUGUGAAUGAACAUUAACUGUAUGCAUUCAGGAAUUGUAACACUAUUAUUUUUUCUUUAAUAAAAUGCAGAAAGUGA